rnacentral:misc_RNA from 1 species
GGAGAAAUUAAAGAAAUCCGUGAAACCCCUCACAAGCACCAUCACAAAUUCAUAGAGUAUUAUGAUAUUAGAGCUGCAGAAGCAGCUUUGUCUGCAUUAAAUAGGAGUGACAUUGCUGGGAAGCAGAUCAAGCUUGAAACAAGCCGUCCUGGGGGUACAAGACGUUUGGCGCUAAAGCCUGAGCAGGAGCAUGAGGAACCCAAUCUUUGUAAAAGCCCAUUUGAUGACUUAUCAGCUGGACGACUAGCAACAUUGUCUCCUGGAGUAAUUGCAUCUAGCUACAUGGACAAUGGAUCAACUCAAGUUUUACCUUCUACCAUUCUGUCGCCUGUGGGUUCAUUUAUUGAAUCUCAUCAGAGUUCUAGUGUUCCAAAUAACUUGCCCUCUCCAGUGACAGUGGGAUCUGUCGGCAAACAAUUUGCUGUUCACGAAUCUAACCACUCCAUGAAUGAAAUAAUGUUUGGUAACCAAUGCAUUUCAAGUUUCCACCCUCACUCCUUGCCAGAGUAUCACGAUAGUUUAGCCAAUAGUAUUCCAUAUAACUCCGCAAGUAACAUUGGAGGCAUGGUUCGUAGUCUUGGUUCCAAAGUGACAGAAGGAAUCAACAGCAGGCACAUUCAAGGAGUAGGUUCAAACUUGAAAUGCAUUGGUUACCAAACAUUUUUGGAUCUUCUGGAAAUGGAAGUGGCUCUCUUCCUGGACAUCAUUAUUUAUGGAACAAUUCCAACCCAGGUCAGCAACAUCAUUCAAACUGUAUGAUUUGGCCAAAUUCGCCAUCAUUUGCCAAUGGUGUUCAUGCUCAUCACCUUUCACAUAUACCUGGAUUUCCUGGAGCACCUCCGGUUAUGCUCAACACAUUACGUGCACAUCUGCUCCAGCUGUUAAUCCUUCCUUGUGGGAUAGGCGACAUGCUUAUUCUGGGGAGUCUUCAGAAGCUUCUAGUUUCCAUCUGGGUUCUCUUGGGAGUGUGGGUUUUCCUGGUAGCUCUCCACCACAUCCUAUGGAAAUUGCUUCCCACAACAUUUUUUCUCAUGUUGGUGGAAAUUGUAUGGAUGUUACUAAAAAUGCUGGACUACACGCUGCUCAGCCGAUGUGCCACAUUUUCCCUCGGAGGAACCCAAUGAUCUCAAUGCCAGCCCCUUUUGACUCUCCUAAUGAACGUGUGAGAAAUCUCUCGCAUUGCAGAAUUGAAUCAAAUUCCAGUCAUUUAGAUAAGAAACAAUACGAACUUGAUAUUGACCACAUAGUGCGUGGCGAAGAUGGUCGAACCACAUUGAUGAUAAAGAACAUU